CUUAGUGGCGGACGGGUGAGUAACGCGUGGGUAACCUGCCCCAUACCGGGGGAUACCACCUGGAAACAGGUGCUAAUACCGCAUAAGCGCACGGGAGCGCAUGCUUCUGUGUGAAAAACUCCGGUGGUAUGGGAUGGACCCGCGUCUGAUUAGCCAGUUGGCAGGGUAACGGCCUACCAAAGCGACGAUCAGUAGCCGGCCUGAGAGGGUGGACGGCCACAUUGGGACUGAGACACGGCCCAAACUCCUACGGAAGGCAGCAG
rnacentral:rRNA from 1 species